GGAAUGUGAUCUUACAGGUCCAGCAAUGGUGCUGCCAGUUGCUGCCCAAACAGUAGGUGAAAAGCAAAAUUUUUCAACUGAUGCUCACUUGAACAGACCAAGAAUAAGUAAUCGGACAUGCAGUCUGUUCAGAAUCAGUGCCCAAAGGAAAUCUUUUACCUACACCGACCCUGUCUUUGGAGCCUCUGCCCCUUUCGUUCAGAGGCUAGCAGAGAUGGGCUCUCUGGAAGGGGAAACAGUGCGGCAAGAAAACCUUAAGAAGCUGAAGAAAAGCAGGAGGCUGGAAUCUUAACCAAGGCCUUCCUAGCAAAAGAGGGCCAAUAAUGAACUGACACAACA